CGACCCCCUCGGUGUCGUAGCUAACGCGUUAAGUGUUCCGCCUGGGGAGUACGCACGCAAGUGUGAAACUCAAAGGAAUUGACGGGGGCCCGCACAAGCGGUGGAGUAUGUGGUUUAAUUCGAUGCAACGCGAAGAACCUUACCAGGGUUUGACAUCCUGCGAAUCCCUUGGAAACUUGGGAGUGCCUUCGGAAGCGCAGAGACAGGUGGUGCAUGGCUGUCGUCAGCUCGUGUCGUGAGAUGUUGGGUUAAGUCCCGCAACGAGCGCAACCCACGUCUUUAGUUGCCAGCAUUUAGUUGGGCACUCUAGAGAGACCGCCGGUGAUAAACCGGAGGAAGGUGUGGAUGACGUCAAGUCAUCAUGCCCCUUACAUCCUGGGCUACACACGUACUACAAUGCUACGGACAAAGGGUUGCAAACUCGCGAGAGCUAGCUAAUCCCAUAAACCGUGGCUCAGUUCAGAUCGUAGGCUGCAACUCGCCUACGUGAAGGAGGAAUCGCUAGUAAUCGCAGGUCAGCAUACUGCGGUGAAUACGUUCCCGGGCCUUGUACACACCGCCCGUCACACCAU
rnacentral:rRNA from 1 species